AGCGGCCAAGAGGUGGCCGAAUACUUACUCUAAUGGGCUGGCCCAAGCCUGAGUGUCUAGAGUUCCCAGCUCGCUUAAGGAAGGAAGGAAAACACAGGCAGCUCUAAGUGUGCGAUGAGAGAGGUCUCAUCGGCAGUGAGGAAGCCCAGGCGGGUCCCCUUCCCAGCUGAAAGGAGUUCGGUCCAUACUCUACAUCUCAGCUAGAAAAGAAGAAAUUCUAAAACAUGUACCUGCCCGUGACCCUCCGUGGCUCAACACUCUUCAGCAGUACCCAGCGCCCUCUGAGUCAACGCCAAGCUUCUUACGAUGGCAUUGGAGCCGCGCUCUGGGUCCUUUUACUGAUGGCUCCUGCCUCAUCCCUUCCACCCCCUCCCAUACCCUGCAUGCCAGCCCAGGCAGCCCCUCCCUCCUCCCACAAUAUCUCCGCUGCAUUCCUGUCCCAUGCCUUCUGCUUAAGCUGUUCCCACAGCCUGGAGUCUCCUCCCUGGCUGAGGGAAAUCUUGCUGGCUCACAUGGCCGUGAUCCCCAUCACUUCCUGCAGAAAGCUUGCCCAGCCCUCCGACACAGGGACCUUCUGCCCCUCCUGAGCCCUGAGUCCCCUCCAUCUUAACUGGGAGGUCACCUGUUUGCGUGGUGUCUGCUCAGCUUGCAGGCAAGGCCACUAACACCCUCCUUUCCUGUCUUCUUUCCUUCCUACCA
rnacentral:sRNA from 1 species